UCGAAUGCAGAUCUUGACAAUUCCAGUAUUAUGACUGGUAAUGGGGAAAAUAAAAAAGCGGAUAAUGUUAG
rnacentral:sRNA from 1 species